rnacentral:rRNA from 1 species
CCUACGGGAGGCAGCAGUAAGGAAUAUUGGACAAUGGACGAAAGUCUGAUCCAGCCAUGCCGCGUGCAGGAUGAAAGCCCUACGGGUUGUAAACUGCUUUUAUACAGGAAGAAACACUCCGACGUGUCGGAGCUUGACGGUACUGUAAGAAUAAGGAUCGGCUAACUCCGUGCCAGCAGCCGCGGUAAUACGGAGGAUCCAAGCGUUAUCCGGAAUCAUUGGGUUUAAAGGGUCCGCAGGCUGUUUUUUAAGUCAGAGGUGAAAUCCUACAGCUCAACUGUAGAACUGCCUUUGAUACUGAAAAACUUGAGUUAUUGUGAAGUGGUUAGAAUGUGUGGUGUAGCGGUGAAAUGCAUAGAUAUCACACAGAAUACCGAUUGCGAAGGCAGAUCACUAACAAUAUACUGACGCUCAUGGACGAAAGCGUGGGGAGCGAACAG